GAGUGGCCACUAUUUUAGGUGAGACGUUGGGAAGUUAGGAUACAUAAGGUUAUUUCAUUUAUAUCUGUAAGCAAUGUUAAACCAUUACUUGACAAAAGACGAUUCCGAACACAGUUCUGUAAUACAUGACUUUUUCGAUUUCGUAUAAAUUUGAUUUUAAAAUGAUUAUUAAAAAAAAAAAGUCGUCCGAUAAUUUUGGAAAGUUUAU